rnacentral:rRNA from 1 species
GGCAAGCGUUGUCCGGAAUUAUUGGGCGUAAAGCGCGCGCAGGCGGUUCCUUAAGUCUGAUGUGAAAGCCCACGGCUCAACCGUGGAGGGUCAUUGGAAACUGGGGGACUUGAGUGCAGGAGAGGGGAGCGGAAUUCCAUGUGUAGCGGUGAAAUGCGUAGAGAUAUGGAGGAACACCAGUGGCGAAGGCGGCUCUCUGGCCUGUAACUGACGCUGAGGCGCGAAAGCGUGGGGAGCGAACAGGAUUAGAUACCCUGGUAGUCCACGCCGUAAACGAUGAGUGCUAAGUGUUAGAGGGUUUCCACCCUUUAGUGCUGCAGCUAACGCAUUAAGCACUCCGCCUGGGGAGUACGGUCGCAAGACUGAAACUCAAAGGAAUUGACGGGGGCCCGCACAAGCGGUGGAGCAUGUGGUUUAAUUCGAAGCAACGCGAAGAACCUUACCAGGUCUUGACAUCCUCUGACAACCCUAGAGAUAGGGCGUUCCCCUUCGGGGGACAGAGU